rnacentral:lncRNA from 1 species
CAGGCCACAGCUGUCGCUGGCAUCUCAGUCUCACACAGAGGACAAUGCCCUGUGAAGGAAGAUCGCUGCAGAGGCUGGGGAUGUCGCUGUGUGAAGCCCUCUUCCACUUCUGAGGACCCAGCACAAACCAAACGGACAAGACCAUUUGAACUCGGAGCAUCUGCCCUUAAGAGUUGAGUGUCCACAGCCUGGAGUGGGAAGUGGGGUCAGGAAGGCCAGACAGUAAUCUCAGUCUCUCUGUACCCCCGCCCCCACGAUGUGUGUCUGCCUGUCUGUCCGUCCUCUCGUGCCUGGAUCUGCGCAGGCCACCCGCAGUCACAGCACACAGUAAGUACAUAUCAGCUGUUGGCCAUCGUCAGAGCAACAGCGUCCCAAGACUGGAGCUGUUCAUGGGGUAAAGACGCCGAGGUUCAGUCUGGUGAAUUCAUGUGUCCGGGGGCGGGUGGGGGCUCCCAGGAAAGCUGACCUGGAACCCCAGCGCUCAAUGACUGUGGCAGUCUAGCCGGGGAAGAUGAAUUUGCUAAGUGAUCUUAGCUGUCAGGCUAAGGUGGGGGGGAGGGUGGUCAUCAGAGCAGGACAGAGAGGAAAGAGUUGGGGUAGGAGUGUGUGAAGUGGGGGUAGGGUGGCGAAAGAGGGGAGACCCCCAAUGUGAUUGGCAGCUACUGCCAUAGGCUAGACCUAGGGCCAGACGUGAGGGGACUGUGUUCUCAAGGUUUCCUAGGGACAGAAGAGGAAAACGUUCUGCCAAGGGCCGAAUCAAGGUGGCAGGAGCUUUGGGUCUGGAGAUCUAAGAGAGUGAGAGAGAUACA